UAUCGGAAGCAAAGGGAAAGACGUUCAGGUGCUUCCCUCUGAGGGUCUGAGGUGAGGCUGUUUGGGCCAGAGGAGUGGUGUGGCAGGUGGUUGCUUGCAAGCACAGUGGUCAUUUUGUCCUUUUGUGUUGCCAGGUGGCAUGGGUGAUGCUGUCUACUCCUUUUGAGCUUGGAUCUAAUUUCCAGGUACAGAGGCAAGUGGACUGCUGUUUUAAAAGGAUAAAAUGAAAUAUGGAGUCACUUCUGUUGUUGAGGGAUGGGUGCUAAUGCUGGCAGCUGAAUGUUUAUCUUCUGUGUUUUUCUUUGUUCAGGCGGAAACGCAGUGUGCGAUACGGAAUGUCAUGACCCGAGCUGCCUCUGGAGUGACUCUGGUGGGCGAUGAAGAGAUGCAGCAGUUGCUUUUGGGGUGCGGUUGUCACUGCAGUUACUUUACUACAUCAAAUAGAGUAAAAUUCCAGUUUGCCUUUUCGAGGUGCUGUAAGUGGCUAAAGAGACCAGAUGGAAGCAUCUGCUCUGUGGGGUAGGUAAGCUGCUGAGGUAAAGGAGGGGAUGAGAGUAACUGACCUACGGGUGCUGUGGCUUUUGCUGCUGUGGUUGCUUUCUCUUCUGUUUAUCAGGUGCCACAGGCAAGGUGGACUGUGAUAGUCUUUAGAAUCGGAGCAAAGCAGGUCACUUGAAUGCUGCCUGGUUCCUGAGAAAGGGGUUGUAGAGGAGAGAAGCUUUCAAUAUUGAAAGCUGAAGCAAAAGCCUGGGGAUUGUUGCUUCUAGAAACACCCCAGUUCUCUUGUCUGCCCUCUGCAUGGUGUUGAGCUGAAAACCAGAUGGAAAAAAAAUAGAAAACCACAGCUGGUGCUUGUCCUGCUGCCUGUCUACUUUGUUGUUUUUUGCCCCUCCCCUUUCCCAGGUGAUUGGGUUUGGGUGGUGGGCGGGGCCAAAUGGUAUAUGAGCCCCAGGCAAGGCAUGAGGGAGCUCAUUGUGCCUGGGCUGCUCUUAGGGGUAAGUGCUUUGUUUUUCCUUCUGUCAGUUGCAGGGUUCUUUAGGUGGGUUGGAGUCUAUGGACUGAUGCGUACCGGUCUCU